rnacentral:rRNA from 1 species
UACGGGGGGGGCAAGCGUUGUUCGGAAUUACUGGGCGUAAAGGGCUCGUAGGCGGCCAACUAAGUCAGACGUGAAAUCCCUCGGCUUAACCGGGGAACUGCGUCUGAUACUGGAUGGCUUGAGUUUGGGAGAGGGAUGCGGAAUUCCAGGUGUAGCGGUGAAAUGCGUAGAUAUCUGGAGGAACACCGGUGGCGAAGGCGGCAUCCUGGGCCAACACUGACGCUGAGUGAGCGAAAGCCAGGGGAGCAAACAGG